rnacentral:rRNA from 1 species
UACGUAGGGUGCGAGCGUUGUCCGGAAUUACUGGGCGUAAAGCGUGCGCAGGCGGUUUUGUAAGCCAGAUGUGAAAUCCCCGGGCUUAACCUGGGAAUGGCAUUUGGGACUGCAAGGCUGGAGUGCGGCAGAGGAGACUGGAAUUCCUGGUGUAGCAGUGAAAUGCGUAGAUAUCAGGAGGAAUACCGAUGGCGAAGGCAGGUCUCUGGGCUGACACUGACGCUCAUGCACGAAAGCGUGGGGAGCAAACAGG